CGUAGGGGCUAGCGUUAUCCGGAAUUACUGGGCGUAAAGGGUGCGUAGGUGGUUUCUUAAGUCAGAGGUGAAAGGCUACGGCUCAACCGUAGUAAGCCUUUGAAACUGGGAAACUUGAGUGCAGGAGAGGAGAGUGGAAUUCCUAGUGUAGCGGUGAAAUGCGUAGAUAUUAGGAGGAACACCAGUUGCGAAGGCGGCUCUCUGGACUGUAACUGACACUGAGGCACGAAAGCGUGGGGAGCAAACAGGAUUAGAUACCCGUGUAGUCCCUGAG
rnacentral:rRNA from 1 species